UACAGAGGGGGCAAGCGUUGUUCGGAAUUACUGGGCGUAAAGGGCGCGUAGGCGGCCUGCUAAGUCGAACGUGAAAUCCCUGGGCUCAACCCAGGAACUGCGUCCGAUACUGGUUGGCUUGAAUCCGGGAGAGGGAUGUGGAAUUCCAGGUGUAGCGGUGAAAUGCGUAGAUAUCUGGAGGAACACCGGUGGCGAAGGCGACAUCCUGGACCGGCAUUGACGCUGAGGCGCGAAAGCCAGGGGAGCAAACGGGAUUAGAAACCCCCGUAGUCC
rnacentral:rRNA from 1 species